GAACCUUUAAUGUAUGAGUAAGGAAAAUAAUGACUCGGGGUAGCACCUGAAUCCUCACUGGGCAUGUGAGAAGAAUUUUUGAUUUGGUUCAGGUUGCCCUUAAGAUAAACUGCUUACUUCACAAGAUGUCUGGGUGUCACCAUCUGCCCA